UGUUCUGCUAUCACUCUUGGAUGGACCUGCGGUGCAUUAGCUAGUUGGUAGGGGUAACGGGCCUACCAAGGCGAUGAUACAUAGCCCGAGUUGAGAGACUGAUCGGGCCACAUUGGGGACUGAGACACGGGCCAAACUCCUACGGGAGGCAGCAGUAGGGAAUCUUCCACAAUGGACGCAAGUCUGAUGGAGCAAACGCCGCGUGAGUGAAGAAGGGUUUCGGCUCGUAAAAAGCUCUGUUGUUGGUGAAGAAGGACAGGGGUAGUAACUGACCCUUUGUUUGACGGUAAUCAAUUAGAAAGUCACGGGCUAACUACGUGCCAGCAGCCGCGGUAAAU
rnacentral:rRNA from 1 species